rfam:Rhodococcus kyotonensis strain KB10 scaffold18.1, whole genome shotgun sequence.
CGGGGUGUGGCGCAGCUUGGUAGCGCAUCCGCUUUGGGAGCGGAGGGUCGCAGGUUCAAUUCCUGUCACCCCGA